CCUGAGGGGCUCGGGGAGCGGGACAGGAGCAGCCCUCAGAGCGGGACAGGAGGAAACCUCAGAGCGGGACAGGAGGAAACCUCAGAGCGGGACAAGAGCAGCCCUCAGAGAGGGACAGGAGCAGCGAUCCGCCGUCCUAAACCCGCGUUCCCGUGAGCUGCUGUCCUGGUCUGACCCCGUACUUACAGGCCCCUGCCUAAAGGUACUGAACUACAACUCCAAACGCCUGUAACAAAGUCUCUGUUUCCUUCCCUUUUUGUGAGACACUGAGAUCCAGUACCUACUUUCUUCACCUGGCACAAAGCUUGAACAAAAAUCCUGGAAUGUUCACUUACAUGUGAACCAAAGCCAGGACUGCAUCCUUAGAAUGGGAAAGGUGAGAUCCAGGCAGGAGAACUGCAGGAGUGGAGAGCACAUGGACAAGUGACCUGGCCCAGCCAAGAGCCAUCUGAUGUUUCCCUCUCUGGGAUGUGAAACAUAAAAUACUGGUGUACCUUUAUUGUGGAAUUUCUCAGAGCUGCC